AUUAUGGAUUAUUCAUCCCCACUCCCUCCCUCAUAAAUGAUUCUCCUCCUAUUUUUCUUAAUUACGAACUUUGUUCAAUGUGUGGGCUUAAAAUUUCUGCAAUUUCACAUCUUCAGUUCAAGGUAUCCGUAGUGAUUCUACAUUCGUACACUGCGAAGUUCAAUUUUGAAGUAAAAUUUGAAUUGCUAAAAGUUCGUCGGCGACAGUAUUGUUAAACCAUGGUUAUGGAUUCAGAAUAAUCGGUUCACAAUUUCAUCCAAAAAGCAUUUUUCACAAGGAGGAUAUGUGAGAGAAUUCUUCUAAUGUGAUCGACGAAGGGAGUAUAUAUUCAGUAGUAAGGUACACUUUCGAAUCAUUGUGAUGCGGCUGUUGUAGUGAAAAGAAAUACUCAAGUAGUCAAGUAUUUAAUUUGUAUUUGCAUGUUUAAUAGUCAAAUGAUAGGCAGAUGUAUAAUCUAUCUUUGUAAUUCAAAUUAAGAACAUGGACGAUGGAAUACUGUAAUUUGUAAACUAUUAAUAGCUUUCCAGUGUAUGUUAGUUAGAAUUCUAUUUUAUUCCGAAUUAAGUAUAUUGAGUUAUUAGAA